UGCGGCGUGGUGGCCCUACAUCCCGGCAAAGACUGGAGCGACUGAGCUGCCCUCCCGAGCCUCUGAAGGUGAAGUCAGUUUCCCCAGGUGAAGUUUAAACACACGUUUAACUUAAAGUUAAAUUUGUAAUGAAUGUAAUGUAUGCUAAAGGCGGUUCAGCAACAGUAAUAACAGCACGUCUAUUACGUUAGCCAAACGUGAAAUCGCUCCCUCGUGAUUUAGUUUUGCUUUUAGUAAAGACAAGAACAGCUUAACACAACGUAUUAAAACCUGGCAACGUUUACAGAGGGUCGCCGUUUCGGUGGCGUUACGUUACAACACACUACACAGUGCUUGCUGAGAUCGAUCAUUUUUAUUUGAUUAGUUAAGCAGUAUCCUACUAUAAAAUCCACUUCCUCACAAAUCACGACAAUAAGGCUGCACAAAUUAAACCAGGUGAUAUCCUUAAAACAAAUAUAAUGGGAUUAAGUAGGCUAGUCUUAACAUAACUGUUGCUAGGCCUACUUAUUAGCUACAGGGCCCUACAGUGUAAUGUAGGUUAACCAGAGCUUUUCACAUCUGGAAUUUUACAGGCCAGAGUAGCUGGAGAUACAGAAA